rnacentral:rRNA from 1 species
UGGGGAAUAUUGGACAAUGGGCGAAAGCCUGAUCCAGCAAUGCCGCGUGAGUGAUGAAGGCCUUAGGGUUGUAAAGCUCUUUUACCCGAGAUGAUAAUGACAGUAUCGGGAGAAUAAGCUCCGGCUAACUCCGUGCCAGCAGCCGCGGUAAUACGGAGGGAGCUAGCGUUGUUCGGAAUUACUGGGCGUAAAGCGCACGUAGGCGGCUUAUUAAGUCAGGGGUGAAAUCCCGGGGCUCAACCCCGGAACUGCCUUUGAAACUGCUAAGCUAGAAUCCUGGAGAGGCGAGUGGAAUUCCGAGUGUAGAGGUGAAAUUCGUAGAUAUUCGGAAGAACACCAGUGGCGAAGGCGACUCGCUGGACAGGUAUUGACGCUGAGGUGCGAAAGCGUGGGGAGCAA